rnacentral:rRNA from 1 species
UACGGGGGGGCAAGCGUUGUUCGGAAUUACUGGGCGUAAAGGCUCGUAGGCGGCCAACUAAGUCGGAUGUGAAAUCCCCAGGCUUAACCUGGGAACUGCAUCCGAUACUGGAUGGCUUGAGUUUGGGAGAGGAUGCGGAAUUCCAGGUGUAGCGGUGAAUGCGUAGAUAUCUGGAGGAACACCGGUGGCGAAGGCGGCAUCCUGGACCAACACUGACACUGAGGAGCGAAAGCGUGGGGAGCGAACAGG